AGUGCUCGAUUGAGGAAGCACUGGUUCGUGCGGUAGUUAUGGUCGCUUAUUGGCAGUUUACGAGAUGGGUAUAAAACCCUUCACUACCUGCGUUUUCUUUUGCUCCCAACAGACACGAAAAACAACUUCAUGUAUCUAUCUCGUUUUUCAUUCAUACAUCCAUCACCGAUCAUACUCUUAAUUCGAUAGAUUCAAGUUCAUACUUGAAUAGAUUGUUGUAUCCUCAAGACUUCACCGGUGCAAUUUUUGUCUUAGGACACUGCAUUUAACGCGGGCCUCAAUCGGAUUUCUGGAACAAUCAGUGGAACAACGAAUCUAUGACUACAAGGACUUGACACUCGGACAAUCUUUACUCGUUUAUCCCCUCAUCCGACUAGCGUCUCAAUGCUCCAAGAUUAUAGAUCAACCGUGUUCGUUUCGCCUCUAUUGGAGAGGGUUGAAGUCCCACAUCUGUUAAAACUUAAAAGGCUAUUUGGUUUGCUUUCCAUUAAGACUUAUAGUCUGUAUUAAUAAAGUUAUACGUAUGAUGUAACAUAAAUUGUCGUUUGAUUGUUUUACUGAAUAAACAGUCUGGAUGUCAGAAAUGACCAUUUUAUUCUC